rnacentral:rRNA from 1 species
UACGUAGGGUGCGAGCGUUAAUCGGAAUUACUGGGCGUAAAGCGUGCGCAGGCGGUUUGCUAAGUCAGAUGUGAAAGCCCCGGGCUCAACCUGGGAAUUGCAUUUGAGACUGCGUAGCUAGGGUGCGGAAGAGGGAAGCGGAAUUUCCGGUGUAGCGGUGAAAUGCGUAGAUAUCGGAAGGAACACCAGUGGCGAAAGCGGCUUCCUGGUCCAGCACCGACGUUCAGGCACGAAAGCGUGGGGAGCAAACAGG